rnacentral:rRNA from 1 species
UACGUAGGCAGCGAGCGUUGUUCGGAAUUACGGGGCGUAAAGAGUGUGUAGGCGGUGCUCUAAGUCUGUCGUGAAAUCUCCCGGCUUAACUGGGAGGGUGCGGCGGAAACUGGUGUGCUCGAGGGUGGGAGAGGUAAGCGGAAUUCCUGGUGUAGCGGUGAAAUGCGUAGAUAUCAGGAGGAACACCUGCGGUGUAGACGGCUUUCUGGACCAUUGCUGACGCUGAGACACGAAAGCGUGGGUAGCAAACAGG